GAUGAGCGCUAGCGGCAGGCCUAAUACAUGCAAGUCGAGGGGCAGCGGGAGUAGCAAUACUUGCCGGCGACCGGCGCACGGGUGCGUAACACGUAUAUAAUCUACCUGAAACUGGGGGAUAGCCCGGAGAAAUCCGGAUUAAUACCCCAUAACAUUGCGAGAUGGCAUCAUUUUGCAAUUAAACCUCCGGGGGUUUUGGAUGAGUAUGCGUUCGAUUAGCUAGUUGGUGAGGUAACGGCUCACCAAGGCGACGAUCGAUAGGGGUACUGAGAGGUUACACCCCCACACUGGUACUGAGACACGGACCAGACUCCUACGGGAGGCAGCAGUAAGGAAUAUUGGACAAUGGUCGCAAGACUGAUCCAGCCAUGCCGCGUGCAGGAUGACUGCCCUAUGGGUUGUAAACUGCUUUUGUACGGGAAUAAACCCUUCUACGUGUAGAGGGCUGAAUGUACCGUAAGAAUAAGGGUCGGCUAACUUCGUGCCAGCAGCCGCGGUAAGAC
rnacentral:rRNA from 1 species